GCACCUCUGAAAUAAAGGAGGUCCUGGUGCGUCUAGGAGCGCUCACUCCAGUCACCUCCUCAAGGCUUACGUUUUGAGUGUGAGUCAGUCUGGGAUCACCCGGCUCUGUAGUUCUACUUCGUUUUCCAGUUAAGGUGAGCCCAUCGGACAGAAUACUAAAGUGAGCCUUCACCUAAAAGAAGACCUGAGAGAAUGCAGAGCAGAGGAGGGUCAAGGAAGCUAUGAAGAAACACUCACUGUUCAUUAAGUUCUCCCUUCACCCUCUAUACUUUACCUGUAGCAUGGUUGAUUUCAAGGACAACUCUGACAACUUGAGAAUUGCUCCAGCAGAGCACGAUCCUGAACAUCAUCACCAAAAUCAUUGUGAAGAAGAGCCUUGUGCUCCCCUCUGAGUUGGCAGAAGACAAAGAGAAGUAAAAGAAGUUCUCUGAAGUGAUCCCCAAGAAUUUGAGGGUGGUCGAGAACCUGUUGUAGCCCUGCAGGCUGGGCAACUGGUGCCCAAUGUGGAUGAAACCACCACUUGAGGAUUCGGAACGUUGCCUCCCGGAGGAAGACCAAGGCCUUGGUGAAGUUGUUGGAUCCCCCUGAAAUCGCCCAGUUCAGGACGCGAUCCAGAGGAGAGCGGAGACGAUGCAUGUGGCCUCACUCAUUAUGAAAGGACGACAGACCUCUCGCCAAUAUUUUGAAACCGGUUUCUCUGGUCACCCCUGGGCACCUUUGCAGUCAUUCUGAAGAAACAUCGCAUGUGUGGUAAAUACGAGAACAUCAUGGAUCAAGGAUCAAAUAGUACUGUCUAUCAGCACGUGAAUAUCCAAAAGAAGUCUUACAAAAAUAAUGACCUUGGCAAAAUGCUUUAUGAAUCAUCUCAGGUGUAUAGCUUAUAACACCAGCGAUGCUACAGGAAACCAUCAGAGAAUUCAUACAGGAGAGGAACCUUACAAAUAUGGUAAAUGUGAAAAAUCCUUUGGAUGUAGCUCAAAUCUUGGAACACAUCAGAAAUCUCAUAAAGGACAGAAACCUCACAAAUGUAGUGAAUUUGAGAAGUCAUUUAGACAUAAUUCAACUCUUAAAAAUCAUCAGAGGAUUCAUGCAGGAGGGAAACCUUACAAAUGCAGUGAUUGUGAGAAGUCAUUUACAUAUAGUUCAAACCUUAAAUAUCAUUAGAGAUUUCAUACAGGAGAUAAAGUUUAUAAACGUAGUGAAUAUGAGAAGUCAUUUACAUAUAGAUAAAGUUUUACAUAUCAUCAGAGAAUUCAUACAGGAGAGAAACCUUACAAAUGUAGUAAAUGUGAAAAGUCAUUUGCAAAUAGUUCAACCCUUACAAAUCAUCAGAGGUUUCAUACAGGAGAAAAACCUUACAAAUAUAGGCAAUGUGAGAAAUCCUUUACAUAUACUUAAUAUCUUAAAAGACAUCAGAUAGUUCAUACAGAAGAGAUACCUUACAAAUGUAAUGAAUGUAUAAAAUCCUUUGCAUGUAUUACAAAUCUUGAGUCACAUAAGAAAAUUCAUACAGGGACGAAACCUUAAAUGUAGAAUAUGUAAUAAAUUCUUUAAAUAUAGAUCAGGACUUAGAAAACAUGAGAGAAUUCAUACAGGAGAAAGAUCUUACAAAUGUUGGGAAUGUGAGAACUCCUUUUCAAGUUCUUCAAAACUUAGAAUACAUAAGCAACUUCAUAUAGGAGAGAAACCUUACAAUGUAGUGUAUGUGUGAAAUCAUUCAUAUGCUCCAACAUAUAAACAAGCCUACACGUGUGUAGUGGGCUCAGGGUGUCCAUUGUUCAUAAGUUGUAUCCCAAGGUUGAUUUGAAUUUCAUGGUAGCAACUAUCUGAGCCCUUUUUAUGACUGUAAGCAACUCUUUUCACAUAUACCUGUAAGUAACCUGAAUAAAACUCAUUCAUUCAGCAA